rnacentral:piRNA from 1 species
UCUAAUGUUUCAGCUGAGAAGCUGGGGGAGUC